GGCCCGUUUUUACACAGAAGCAUGGCGGCUGUAAGCUGGGUUCUCUCUGAGAUAGGGGUGAAGUUUGGGAAGUGGAGAGACAUUUAUCUGAAGCAAGCUCUCCAGGAAGGUAGACAGCGUGAUCCAUGAAGCAGGGGCUAUUUGAGCCCCACGACAGGCUGUCUUUCCUGUUCAUCAUCAAUCUGUUUUCCGUGGGACUUGCCCCCCAGCCCCAUACCUGCCUCGAUGGCCCUGCUGAAUAGGACACAAGCAUUCUCAGAAGUCUGGAGUGACCUGGAUGCCAUAAGCAGCUUUGACAUCAAAGUCCUUAGCAUUCUGCAUUCGUUAGACCUGCACCCACUGAAUUCCUGGCCCAGGAAGCAGAACAGAGAACUGACUUCUAUGCUGCUAGGUUGCUAACCCUGUGGAGAGUCCUGAGUUGAACACAUGAGCAGUCUUAACUGAAUAAAAUGGC